GAUGAAUGCUAGCUACAGGCUUAACACAUGCAAGUCGAGGGGAAACGGCAUUGAGUGCUUGCACUCUUUGGACGUCGACCGGCGCACGGGUGAGUAACGCGUAUCCAACCUUCCCAUUACUGUGGGAUAACCUGCCGAAAGGCAGACUAAUAUCGCAUAGUCUUCGAUGACGGUAUCAGAUUUGAAGUAAAGAUUUAUCGGUAAUGAAUGGGGAUGCGUCUGAUUAGCUUGUUGGCGGGGUAACGGCCCACCAAGGCGACGAUCAGUAGGGGUUCUGAGAGGAAGGUCCCCCACAUUGGAACUGAGACACGGUCCAAACUCCUACGGGAGGCAGCAGUGAGGAAUAUUGGUCAAUGGACGGAAGUCUGAACCAGCCAAGUAGCGUGCAGGAUGACGGCCCUAUGGGUUGUAAACUGCUUUUGUAUGGGGAUAAAGUUAGGGACGUGUCCCUAUUUGCAGGUACCAUACGAAUAAGGACCGGCUAAUUCCGUGCCAGCAGCCGCGGUAAUACGGAAGGUCCAGGCGUUAUCCGGAUUUAUUGGGUUUAAAGGGAGCGUAGGCUGGAGAUUAAGUGUGUUGUGAAAUGUAGACGCUCAACGUCUGAAUUGCAGCGCAUACUGGUUUCCUUGAGUACGCACAACGUUGGCGGAAUUCGUCGUGUAGCGGUGAAAUGCUUAGAUAUGACGAAGAACUCCGAUUGCGAAGGCAGCUGACGGGAGCGCAACUGACGCUUAAGCUCGAAGGUGCGGGUAUCAAACAGG
rnacentral:rRNA from 1 species